GUUGGCCGUGAUGACAAACUUGCCCUCUCUGAGAACGACUCUAUUAUGAGACCCAAAAUAAACGCUCCUGAGCCAAA